rnacentral:lncRNA from 1 species
CUCUUAGAAACCCUGCUGGAGACAAAUCCUGGGCUCGGUGCACAUUUGGUGUGAUCAGCUGUGGCUCUCAGUAUUCUAACACUCAUCAUGUGCCUCACUGGUGUCAGGAGAGAUUUGGGCUGUGUACUAAUGGCUGUGGAGCUUGAUGGGCAUGUUGGUGGGAGUUGACUGAACGGAUUUAGCAGGUGAUGAAGUCAGCUUCCUCUAGACUCACCUUAGUUGCUUCCCCUCCUUGAUGAACCUUUUCCUUUAAGUCACCCUGGGAAGCAGCACUACUGGGAAGCAGCUCCUCCUGCAAGAGAUGAGCAUUCAUGUCAUGACACUGCUGAGGAUUCACAGUACAUCUACACAGGAAACAGUCCUGAUGGCUUCAGGAACACAGAAACCAAAACAAGCUUCUGUUUUUUUCAGCUUUACAUAUUACACUGCUGAAGGUUAUGCUGAAUGGGAUGCUGUGCAGCUCAAAGAUCACACAUCUCAAAUGGCUCACUUGGUGUUCUCAGACUGAACUGACUGGCUGAGUUGCAGCUCUCUGAGAAAGGGAAUGGUAGCUUUUCUCUCAGAACACUGUAA